CACGUAGUUAGCCGGUGCUUUUUCUGCAGGUACCGUCACUUGCGCUUCUUCCCUACUAAAAGAGGUUUACAACCCGAAGGCCGUCAUCCCCCACGCGGCGUUGCUGCAUCAGGCUUGCGCCCAUUGUGCAAUAUUCCCCACUGCUGCCUCCCGUAGGAGUCUGGGCCGUGUCUCAGUCCCAGUGUGGCCGGUCACCCUCUCAGGCCGGCUACCCGUCGUCGCCUUGGUAGGCCAUUACCCCACCAACAAGCUGAUAGGCCGUGAGCCGAUCCAGAACCGCAAAAACUUUCCAACCGAAGACCAUGCGGCCUCGGCACCUAUCCGGUAUUAGCCACGGUUUCCCGCGGUUAUUCCAGAGUCCUGGGCACGUUGCUCACGUGUUACUCACCCGUUCGCCACUAAUCCACCAAAGCAAGCUAAGGCUUCAUCGUUCGACUUGCAUGUGUUAAGCACGCCGCCAGCGUUCGUCCUGAGCCAGGAUCAAACUCU
rnacentral:rRNA from 1 species